rnacentral:rRNA from 1 species
AGCAACGCGAAGAACCUUACCAGGUCUUGACAUCCUCUGACAAUCCUAGAGAUAGGACGUCCCCUUCGGGGGCAGAGUGACAGGUGGUGCAUGGUUGUCGUCAGCUCGUGUCGUGAGAUGUUGGGUUAAGUCCCGCAACGAGCGCAACCCUUGAUCUUAGUUGCCAGCAUUCAGUUGGGCACUCUAAGGUGACUGCCGGUGACAAACCGGAGGAAGGUGGGGAUGACGUCAAAUCAUCAUGCCCCUUAUGACCUGGGCUACACACGUGCUACAAUGGACAGAACAAAGGGCAGCAAAACCGCGAGGUUAAGCCAAUCCCACAAAUCUGUUCUCAGUUCGGAUCGCAGUCUGCAACUCGACUGCGUGAAGCUGGAAUCGCUAGUAAUCGCGGAUCAGCAUGCCGCGGUGAAUACGUUCCCGGGCCUUGUACACACCGCCCGUCACACCACGAGAGUUUGUAACACCCGAAGUCGGUGAGGUAACCUUUAUGGAGCCAGCCGCCGAAGGUGGGACAGAUGAUUGGGGUGAAGUCGUAACAAGGUAGCCGUAUCGGAAGGUGCGGCUGGACAAACCUCCAUAAAA